rnacentral:rRNA from 1 species
UGAGGAAUAUUGGACAAUGGGCGGAAGCCUGAUCCAGCCAUGCCGCGUGCAGGAAGACGGCCCUAUGGGUUGUAAACUGCUUUUAUACAGGAAGAAUAAGGCUUACGUGUAGGCUGAUGACGGUACUGUAAGAAUAAGCACCGGCUAACUCCGUGCCAGCAGCCGCGGUAAUACGGAGGGUGCAAGCGUUAUCCGGAAUCAUUGGGUUUAAAGGGUCCGUAGGCGGGCAUAUAAGUCAGUGGUGAAAGUCUGCAGCUCAACUGUAGAACUGCCAUUGAUACUGUAUGUCUUGAAUUAUUGUGAAGUGGUUAGAAUAAGUAGUGUAGCGGUGAAAUGCUUAGAUAUUACUUAGAAUACCGAUUGCGAAGGCAGAUCACUAACAAUAUAUUGACGCUGAUGGACGAAAGCGUAGGUAGCGAACGGGAUUAGAUACCCCCGUAGUCC